rfam:Daphnia pulex DAPPTscaffold_125_Cont5177, whole genome shotgun sequence.
GAUCGUGUGGCCUAAUGGAUAAGGCGUCGGACUUCUAUUAAAAUUAAAGUCAUCCGAAAAUUGCAGGUUCGAGUCCCGCCUCGAUUA